rnacentral:rRNA from 1 species
UACGUAGGGUGCAAGCGUUAAUCGGAAUUACUGGGCGUAAAGCGUGCGCAGGCGGCUUUGCAAGACAGAUGUGAAAUCCCCCGGGCUUAACCUGGGAAUGGCAUUUGGGACUGCAAGGCUUGAGUGCGGCAGAGGAGACUGGAAUUCCCGGUGUAGCAGUGAAAUGCGUAGAUAUCGGGAGGAAUACCGAUGGCGAAGGCAGGUCUCUGGGCUGACACUGACGCUCAUGCACGAAAGCGUGGGGAGCAAACAGG